AACACCGUCGGAAAUGAUUUUCUGAUUGGUGUAGGCCAAAGCACACUUUCCAAAAUAAUCAAAAGAGUGGUGAAUGAAAUGGAAAGCAAGCUAUGUAGUAAAUUUAUUGAGUUUAAUCUCGAUAACUGCGACGAUUCAAAGCAAUUCUUUUUGCAAAAAUACAAAAUUCCUGGAGUAAUCGGCUGUAUAGACGGAACUCAUUUUGGUUUGCAAAAGCCACCAAAUGAGCAUAUGUUUUUUAAUAGAAAGGGGUUCCAUAGCCUUAAUUCCAUGAUUGUGAGUAAAUAUUUUUACUAAUAAAUGUUCAUUGUUUUUAAAAAUAUUUUUUUUUGUAGAUAUGUGAUCACAAAUACAGAAUUUUAGCAAUAAAUUCUAAGUAUGGAGGUGUUGCCCAUGAUUCUUUUGUAUGGAAACAGUCUGAGGAAAGAAUUCUUUUAGAACAAAAAUAUAGCUCCAAUUUACGAAAUUUUUGGCUUUUAGGUGAUUCUGGCUACCCGCUUGAGCCGUGGUUGCUAACCCCAUACCGAAGUCCUCAAGAAGGAUCAAUGGAGUCUCGUUUUAACGAUAUACAUUCUAAAGCCAGAUGCGUAGUAGAAAGGACCAUCGGCAUAUUAAAAGC